rnacentral:rRNA from 1 species
UAUAAACCAAAUCAUUUAAAAAUAGAAGUAUUGGAGAAAGAACCUAUCGCUAGGCGCUAUAGAGAUAGUACCGCAAGGGAAUGAUGAAAGACAAAUUUAAAGUAAAAGACAGCAAAGAUUAAACCUUGUACCUUUUGCAUAAUGAGUUAGCUAGAAAUUUUCUAACUAAGAGAACUUUAGCUAGAGACCCCGAAACCAAGCGAGCUACCCGAGAGCAGUCUUUAGGACGCACCCGUCUAUGUGGCAAAAUAGUGGGAUGACUUUCGAGUAGAGGUGAAAAGCCUACCGAGCCUGGUGAUAGCUGGUUACCCACCUAAUGAAUUUUAGUUCAAUUUUAAGCCUGCCACAAGAAACCUUAAUCUUAAUGCAAGCUUAAAAUUUAAUCUAAAGAGGGACAGCUCUUUAGAUAUGGAUACAACCUGAGAUAGUGAAUAAGCCCUCUUCCUAGCCCAUUGUUGGCCUAGGAGCAGCCAUCAAUAAAGAAAGCGUUCAAGCUCAAAGCCUUAUUUUCCAUAAUUCCUUUAUUCUCAAGCGAUUUCCUAGCCCCCUAAGUGGGUUAAUCUAUCACUUUAUAGAUGAGAUACUGCUAGCAUGAGUAACAAGAAUCUUAUUCUCCUCGCACAAACGUAUAACAAACCGGAUGCCCAUUGUUAAUUAACAUACUUAAGGUGCUUAAUUUAUACAUAAAACCCACCUUGACCUCUAUGUUAACCCGACACAGGAGUGCACAAAGGAAAGAUUAAAAGAAAUAAAAGGAACUCGGCAAACACGAACCCCGCCUGUUUACCAAAAACAUCACCUCUAGCAUCACAAGUAUUAGAGGCACUGCCUGCCCAGUGACUAACGUUAAACGGCCGCGGUAUCCUGACCGUGCAAAGGUAGCAUAAUCACUUGUUCCUUAAUUAGGGACUAGAAUGAAUGGCCAAACGAGGGUUCAACUGUCUCUUAUUUCUAAUCAGUGAAAUUGACCUCCCCGUGAAGAGGCGGGGAUAUUCUUAUAAGACGAGAAGACCCUGUGGAGCUUUAAUCUCUUAGUUUAAUUUUUUCCUUCUGACCCCUAAUGGCAUAAAAAUUAAAAUAUAAACUAAUGAUUUCGGUUGGGGUGACCUCGGAGAACAAAAAAACCUCCGAAUGAUUUUAACCUAGACCCACAAGUCUAAGUACCCUUCAUCUAAUUGACCCAAUAUCUUUUGAUCAACGGACCAAGUUACCCCAGGGAUAACAGCGCAAUCCAAUUCUAGAGUUCAUAUCGACAAUUAGGGUUUACGACCUCGAUGUUGGAUCAGGACAUCCCAAUGGUGCAGAAGCUAUUAAAGGUUCGUUUGUUCAACGAUUAAAGUCCUACGUGAUCUGAGUUCAGACCGGAGUAAUCCAGGUCGGUUUCUAUCUAUAUACAAUUUCUCCCAGUACGAAAGGACAAGAGAAAUGGAGCCACCUUGCCCCAAGCGCUCCCUGGAUAUAUAUGAAACUUUCUUAAUAUAAAAAACAUGUAAUAUUAUAC